AAUUUGGUCCUGGUUCGGAAUGAACGCUAGUAAUAUGCUUUACACAUGCAAGUUGAACGUUAUUAAAACGUAGCGGACGGGUGAGUAAUGGAAAAGCAUUUUGCCUCUAAGUCUGGGAUAAUUAUAUUGUAAUAAUAAUUUAAAAGUUUUCUUUUAAAAUAAAAAUACCGGAUAAUAAAUAAAGAUUUUUUUCGCUUAGAGAUACGCUUUUUUAGUAUUAGGUUGUUGGUAAUGUAAUAGAUUACCAAGCCAAUGAUGCUUAGUUGGCCUUAACGGGUGUACAACCACACCGGGACUGAGACACGGCCCGGACUCAUAUAGAGGCUGCAGUGGGGAAUAUUGGGCAAUGGGCGAAAGCCUGACCCAGCAAUAUUACGUGGGUGAUGACGGUGUUUUACUGUAAAACCCUUUCGUUAAGUAGGAUAAUGACGUUACUUAAAGAAGAAGCCCCGGCUAAUUCUGUGCCAGCAGCCGCGGUUAUACAGGAGGGGCAGGUGUUAUUCUUCAUUAUUAGGCGUAAAGGGUCUGUAGGCAAUUUAGUAAGUUGAAGUUUAAGCUUUUAGCUUAACUAAAAGAGAGCUUCAAUACUGCUUUAUUUGAGUUUAAUAGAGGGUAGUAGAAUUCCUAAUGUAGGGAUAAAAUCUGAGAAUAUUAGGAGGAAUUUCAGUGGCGAAGGCAACUACCUGGGUUAUAACUGACGCUGAUAGACGAAGGCUUGGGGAGCAAAUGGGAUUAGAGACCCCAGUAGUCCAAGCUGUAAACGAUGAAUGUUAAGAAUUAGGUUUUAUAAAAUUUAGUUUUAAAGUUAACGCGUUAAACAUUCCGCCUGGGAAGUACGGUCGCAAGAUUAAAACUCAAAGGACUUGACGGGAGUUCGGACCAGUGGUGGAGCAUGUGGUUUAAUUCGAUGAUACGCGAAAAAUCUUACCAAUCUUUGUAUAUAAAUUGUUUUAAAAUCUUAUUAGUAUUAUAAGAUAAAAAUUUAUACAGGUGUUGCAUGGCUGUCGUCAGCUCGUGUCGUGAGAUGUUUGGUUAAUUCCUGUUUAACGAGCGAAACCCUUUCCUUUUAUUUUUUUUUAAUAGGAAGAGCUUUUUUAUUAAAAUAUAGUUAAAGGUACUGCUGAAGAAAUUCAGAGGUAGGUGAGGAUCAAGACAAGUCGUUAUGGCCUUUAUGGAUUGGGCUACACACGUGCUACAAAGGUAAUUACAAUGAGAAGCGAUUAAGUAAUUAUGAGCAAAUCUUUAAAAAUUAUCGAAGUUCGGAUUAUAGACUGAAACUCGUCUAUAUGAAGUUGGAAUCACUAGUAAUCGUGAAUCAGCAUGUCACGGUGAAAAAAUUUACGAACUUUGUACAAACCGCCCGUCAAGCUAGCAAAUUGAGCCU
rnacentral:rRNA from 1 species